GGAUGUAAGGGCGAUCUGGCUGCGACAUCUGUCACCCCAUUGAUCACCAGGGUUGAUUCGGCUGAUCUGGCUGGCUAGGUGGGUGUCCCCUGCCUCCCUCAAUGAUCCAUGUGCGUCCCUCCUGAAAAAAUACAAGGGCCAGCCAAAUAGCACAGCAGAUUAAAGCACCUGCAAGCAGGCACAGGGGCCGGGGGUUCGAUGCCCAGGCCUGCCAUGCCAGCCCCAUCCCUGGGGCACUCUGAGACUGCCAUUGAG
rnacentral:snRNA from 1 species